rnacentral:ncRNA from 1 species
UUUCUUGUAAGGGAUGGUGCUCCCGAUAACCGCUAAAAUUAGCUGAUGGCGCCUGUUGUAAG